UGGCCCAAUAAAAUAUUUAGUAAAGUCCAAUACUUGCUACAGUUAAUAGCCAAGUGAAAACUAAUCUAAAGUCAAAUUUCAAAUUUUUGAAAACCAAAAAAACCAAAAAGCCAGCAACAUGACUGAGGCACAAAACUUAAUGACCACCUCCUUGAUUUUGUUCUUUUUGUUGGCCGUCUUGUGGAUUCUUUAUUCCAUGUUCUAAAUUAGAACUCCACCCCAUCAUAUGUAAAAAUAAGAGAAAAUCAUUCAUAUGCCAUUGCCACACAAAAAACACCUGCACAAAUAUGCUGAACAAUAAAAGAAUUUAUUAGUCAUGAAAAAAAAAUCAAACAAUCAAAAUGAGUGAAGCCCAUAACUUGAUGACCACCUUUCUCAUCCUUGCCUUCUUGUUGACCAUCAUGUAUGUCCUCUACGAAGUCGCAUUCUAAAUGGAUUAUUCGCUCGCAUAGAUAAAAUACCCCUUCAUCUAUCCAACUCAUCGAAAUGUUUUCAAAAUUAUAUUUUGAAUGGCUCACCUCAUCCCAGUUCAUAGCCGUUGCCUUUUUUAAGAAAAUUUUAUAUUCCACAUAAUGAUGUCGUAAUUUAAGCAGCUAUUAGGAUCUAAAGGAGUUUUUUCUAUCAUCGUAGUCACAUAAGGAAAGUGAAAGCUGACGUCAUGUAGUCUUACAGAGAAACUGUCCCGGAAUGAGGUGGAGAGGCCAAAAGCCUUAUAUAAAACUCUCUGGGACAGGCGGACGGACGGCCAACUUUCAAUUUUUAGCUAAAAUUAGUUUUCUUGUUUUGUUUCCAUAUAACUCUUGUUUCAACUUGGGACUUUAUUUUAAAGUCUUGUUUAUUUCUCCAUUAUUUAUUUAGUCUGUAGUUUAAUGCAUUUUUUUAUGAAAAACAUCACUAACGAAAAAACCAAAUGUAAUUUUAUUUGAAGACAAUGUGGUCGUCUUUUAACUGUGAUAAUGUCAUCUCAUCACUGGAGAUGUACGACAAUGGUAUCUGUGUAAAAAUUCUAACAUCUCGUUUGUAAUCUCUGGAACAGUUUUGGACGAUACAAAAUAAAAUUACUACUUAAAAAACCAAAAA